AGUAGAAUUGCUAGGUCAUAUGGUAACUCUGUGUUCAACCUUUUGAGGAACUGUUAGAUCCUUUUCCAAAGUUGCUCAACCAUUUUACAUUCCCACCAGCAAU
rnacentral:pre_miRNA from 1 species